CAAGUCAUUUUUGUUGUGACAAACACACCUUUAGUUUAUGUCCUUCCUGUCAUGUCCUGUCACUUGUCAGUUGUUAUCGUGUCACAAAACAAAAUGAUAAAGAAAAUAAACUAAACAAGACAACAUUUAUAAGAAAAUAAGUAAGACAAGAAAAAUAAACUGAAAACAAAAUUGUAAGAUGGAGUUUGAGGUAUUUUUAUUCAUUGAGUUUAGGAGAAAAUAAGAAAAAGAAAGUGUGUAGUAGUACUGGUAUACCGGCAUAACUUAAAAACUAGCACCUGGACUGCAAUAAUUUUCAUAGAAUACCUUAUGCACAGUAUCGUGAGCAACUAUUGAUGAACCUGUGAAAGAAGUUUACUUAUGUGCUUUUGGUAUAACAAUUAUGUUCCUGUUAUUUCUUUCAGCAAAGAAAAAAUACCAUUGCAAUUGAAAGCUGUUGCGUAUACCUCAGAUCAGGAAAAUGUGAAUACAAAAAGAACAUGUUCAACUAAUUUGUCUUCCUCAGUCAGAAGACAUAAAAGUUUGCAAAUUAUUUGUUAAGUGGUUUUGUUUACUUAAAAUAUAAUCAGGAAAAUAUGGUAUUUUCAAAAACAUACAUCCUGUGUAAUAUUCUAGCUUUAAUCAUCAGUUAUAAAUGGUACUUACAUUAAACAACAGAUUAUAAUUAAAUAUUUUAAAUUCCUACUGUAAAUUAUUCUAUUAAAACAAAAAAGUAUAAAAGUAAAAAAAUACUGUAUUAAUCCUUUCACUGCUACAUUUUGCUGGAAGACAUGCCCAGAAGCUGAGUUCCCACUGGCAAUAAACGUGAGGAUAUGUAUGUGUGUGUAUGGGCAGUGAAAGGGUUAAAAUACAAGCUACUGAUUGUCUUUCCAUAUAUUAUGGCCUAGGAUUUUUUCGGAUGGUAUGAAUUUUAGGCAGCCGCUAUUCUUCUCAACUCCUCCUUUGUUGCAAAAAUAGCCUUAGCAGUUGAAGAGUUUAAUAAAUUCCGUUUGUCACUUUUUACGUUAAACAAAUCACUAAAUAUGCGUUCUACGCUGGCAUUAGAGAAUGGUAAAACAAAAAGUAGCUGUAGAGUCUUUUCUAAAUUAGGAAAUAAAAAAGCAUUAGCAUCAUUUUUUAAAUUAAAUAUUUGAGACCAAUAUUGCUCACAGUCAUCUGAAUUUAAAUUUAAUUUUUCAAAGUCUAAAAGAGCAUGUCUUCUCCAUUCAUUGUCUAACUCCUGAAUAUUAGCAUAUUCUUUUAAAAUAGGGAAUUGAUCAGUUACACAUUUUAAUGAUUUUAUUUCAAAGCUUUGUGCAAUUUUGGGAUCCAGUAUUGAAAUUAUUUUAUAGAUAGGGUCUUUAAAGGUGAAUCGAUUUUUAAUAUUACUAACUAAUUCUAUAUAUGUAAAAUGCUAAAAUACUUUUAAAAAAAAUUAUCAAAUUCUUGUUGGUUCAAAUCUGGCUUUUUUUUUAAUGUAGCUUGCAAGACUUUUUGUUGCAGUCAUUCCUAUAUAAAUAUCAUUUAGACUAACAAAAUUUGUAGGGUUUUCAUGGUUAAGUGUAAAUAUAUCGUUGGUUCUUUUUAUUACAGGCAUCUUUAUGAAAUUGGAACACAGUGUUCUCAACAGAGUUUCAGUUUGUGGCUGAACCUUACAAAGAAGUGGCUUUUCUGACUGAAAGAGUAAAUUGAAUUCUGUCAUUAGUCCUAAAGAAUAUGACAUUAGAUAUACUGGUGUGAACAAAUUUGACAUUGAACAUCAUUUCUGUUGUAAUUGACGGGUCUUCAAAUACACAUUCUGUCAAAUAUGCUCUAAGUGGCUCAUAUUGCUCAAGCACCCUAUCAACGCAUUCUUUAAUAGAUAACCAUCUUGUUGUGGCUGGAGAGAGUAUUUUGUGAAUUUUCACUUGAAAAAAAUUUUGGAGCUCUGUAAAUUUGUGUAUUCUCAAAGCACUCCUAUUAAAGUGAUUGCCUAUAUUUCGUAGCAGAUCUUCCACAUGCCUAGGUAAUUUUAACCAUUUUUUUGAUGUAGCUAAAUGUGUCAUAUGACAUGAGCAUCUAAUACAUACUAUAUGUGGAAAUUCUUCCUUUAACUUGGAAAAUACAGAGUUAAACUCUCCAACCAUAACAUUGGUGAUGUCCGAUGAAAACCCUAUAAAAUUUGUUAGUGGAAUAUUCUUUGAAGUUAAACAGUUCUUUAGAAUACCCUAUAAAUCAUUAGCUGUGGACCCAUGAGCCUCGACAAGAUCAAAAAAUGUGUUUUGGUUGAAUUAUUUUCAUAAAUUAUAGUAGUGAAUGCGCAUUGCUUUUUUAUUGAACUAUCAGUAGUUUCAUCCAUAACUAGUGUGACCAACUCCAAUUCAGUCGAAUCCGGGACAAUGCUGAAAAAAAUACCUAAAAUCCGGGACUUUUGAAUGAAAAUCGGGCCAUUUGUUAUUUUUUUAAAUAUAGGACUCCAAUGUCAUCAUUUUAUUGGUUAUUUAACAUUUUUAUGUUGACAAUGAUAUUUUUGAUGGGCUUAAUCAAAUGAUACGCCCAAACACCUUCCCGAGCUGCUGUCUCUAAAUCAAUGCUCGAUGAAGCUGUUGGCUUGAAAAAUUGAGUCAAUUUUUUCCUGCUGGACGCGGAGCAGAUACCUCUUCGGUGUUUUUCACUUUUGAUGUGACUUAGUAUAUCCGCUCUACCACUGUGGGCGAUCGAAAAUUCCGAUCCACAAGUAUCACACUUCAUGUCACUGUUAGAGUUACUUUUUUUUCAAAAAUAGAAAUUCUUCUUCCAAUAUUUUAUUGAAAGUGCAAUAUCGUUUUCUGUUUUUACUUUCUUGGGUUGGUUCUAUAUUCAUAUUAACAAUAAUAAUAUAUUGGAAUGAAAAAGUCAGGUCAAAAACAAUAAUUCCGAGAUGGUCACUAAUCGAUUUUCGGAUUCAAACUGAUUACUGUACUGACAAUAAAAUAAAAAUAAAUGUUUAGAUAAAAAAAUCAUAUUGCAACGCAGCAGAUUUGAAUUUGGCUCAAAGCAUGCAACGUUUUGGAAAUUAAUCAUAUUUCGCGAACGAACUCAAGAGGUUUAUCUACUUAAAGUGGUUGACAAAACCGAAAAAAAAAAAAAAA
rnacentral:lncRNA from 1 species